rnacentral:tRNA from 1 species
GGUGGCUCAGUGAUAGAGUGCUUGCUUUGCAUGCAUGAGACCCUGGGUUCAAUUCCUCAGCACCA